rnacentral:rRNA from 1 species
ACGGAGGCAGCAGUGGGGAAUAUUGCACAAUGGGGGAAACCCUGAUGCAGCGACGCCGCGUGAGUGAAGAAGUAUUUCGGUAUGUAAAGCUCUAUCAGCAGGGAAGAAAAUGACGGUACCUGACUAAGAAGCCCCGGCUAACUACGUGCCAGCAGCCGCGGUAAUACGUAGGGGGCAAGCGUUAUCCGGAUUUACUGGGUGUAAAGGGAGCGUAGACGGCUUUGCAAGUCUGAUGUGAAAGGCAGGGGCUCAACUCCUGGACUGCAUUGGAAACUGUAGGGCUGGAGUGUCGGAGAGGUAAGCGGAAUUCCUAGUGUAGCGGUGAAAUGCGUAGAUAUUAGGAGGAACACCAGUGGCGAAGGCGGCUUACUGGACGAUAACUGACGUUGAGGCUCGAAAGCGUGGGGAGCAAACAGGAUUAGAUACCCUGGUA